GUUGGCUUAGAAGCAGCCAUCCUUUAAAGAAAGCGUAAUAGCUCACUGGUCGAGCGAGCCUGCGCCGAAAAUGUAACGGGGCUAAAGUCUGGUACCGAAGCUUCGGGUUCUACGUAAGUAGAGCGGUAGCGGAGUAUUCUCAGAUAGAUACGAGGUGUACCGUAAGGAGCGCUGAUGGAUCUGAGAAGAGCUUAUGCAGGCAUGAGUAGCGAUAAACUGGGUGAGAAGCCCAGUCGCCGUAAGCCCAAGGUUUCCCGGGGAAGGAUCAUCCUCCCGAGGGUUAGUCGGACCCUAAGCCGAGCCCGAAAGGGGUAGGUGAUGGCAAGCAGGUUAAUAUUCCUGCACCACCGACGAAGACGUUGAACCGAGCAGGGACGAAGAAGGGUAGGUCGAGCCAAUCGUUUGGUCUGAUUGGUUCAAGCGCGUAGGCGGAGCUCGUAGGAGGCAAUAGCCACAAACGCGAGCUCAACGCCGAGACGUGAUGAGGAGAGUCUUCGGACUCGAAACUCGAUGAUCCCAUGCUUCCGAGAAAAGCUGCGCGGGGAGUCCCGUUGGUGUCCGUACCGCAAACCGACUCAGGUGGGCGGGGUGAGUAUCCCAAGGCGCGUGAGAGAAUGCUGGCUAAGGAACUCGGCAAAUUGGCACCGUAACUUCGGGAGAAGGUGUGCCUCCAUUACGUAAAGGGCCUCGCGCCUGGAGCGGACGGGGGUUGCAGUGAAAUGGGGGUUGCGACUGUUUACUAAAAACACAGGACUCUGCGAACUCGUAAGAGGACGUAUAGGGUCUGACGCCUGCCCGGUGCUGGAAGGUUAAGGGGAGAUGUUAGCCUUCGGGCGAAGCUUCGAACUGAAGCCCCAGUAAACGGCGGCCGUAACUAUAACGGUCCUAAGGUAGCGAAAUUCCUUGUCGGGUAAGUUCCGACCUGCACGAAUGGCGUAACGACAUCCCCACUGUCUCGGCCAGCAACUCAGCGAAAUUGUACUGGGGGUGAAGAUACCCUCUACCCGCGGCAAGACGGAAAGACCCCGUGAACCUUCACUGUAACUUGGCAGUGAUGCUCGGGACAGCCUGCGUAGGAUAGGUGGGAGACUUUGAAGUCGGGGUUCUGGCCUCGAUGGAGUCAACCUUGAAAUACCACCCUGGCUGUUCUGGUCGUCUAACCUAGGCCCGUCAUCCGGGUCGGGGACACUGUCUGGUGGGCAGUUUGACUGGGGCGGUCGCCUCCCAAAAAGUAACGGAGGCGCGCGAUGGUUCCCUCAGGCUGAUUGGAAACCAGCCGUAGAGUGCAAAGGCAUAAGGGAGCUUGACUGCGAGACCGACAGGUCGAGCAGGUGCGAAAGCAGGCCUUAGUGAUCCGGUAUCUCCGCAUGGAAGGGAUAUCGCUCAACGGAUAAAAGGUACUCCGGGGAUAACAGGCUGAUCGCGCCUGAGAGUUCAUAUCGGCGGCGCGGUUUGGCACCUCGAUGUCGGCUCAUCCCAUCCUGGGGCUGGAGCAGGUCCCAAGGGUUUGGCUGUUCGCCAAUUAAAGGGGUACGCGAGCUGGGUUUAGAACGUCGUGAGACAGUUCGGUCCCUAUCUGCCGU
rnacentral:rRNA from 1 species